rnacentral:rRNA from 1 species
GAUGAACGCUGGCGGCGUGCCUAAUACAUGCAAGUCGAGCGAACGGACGAUGAGCUUGCUUCUCUGAUGUUAGCGGCAGGCGGGUGAGUAACACGUGUAUAACCUACCUAUAAGACGGGUAUAACUUCGGGAAACCGGAGCUAAUACCGUAUAAUAUUUUGAACCGCAUUGUUCAAAGGUGAAAUACGGUCUUUCUGGCACGUAUAGAUGGAUCCGCGCUGCAUUAGCUAGUUGGUAAGGUAACGGCUUACCAAGGCAACGAUGCAUAGACGACCUGAGAGGGUGAUAGGCCACACUGGAACUGAGACACGGUCCAGACUACUAAGGGAGGGCGCAGUAGGGAAUCUUCCGCAAUAGGCGAAAGCCUGACGGAGCAACGGGGCGUGAGUGAUGACGGUCUCCGGAGCGUAAAACUCUGUUAUUAGGGAAGAACAUAUGUGUCAGUAAAUGUGCACAUCUUGACGGUAACUAGUCAGAAAGCCACGGCUAACUACGUG